rnacentral:rRNA from 1 species
UACGGAGGGGGCGAGCGUUAUUCGGAAUUACUGGGCGUAAAGGGCGCGCAGGCGGUUUUUUAAGUCAGAUGUGAAAGCCCGGGGCUCAACCCCGGAAGUGCAUCUGAUACUGGAAGGCUUGAGUAUGGGAGAGGGAAGUGGAAUUCCUGGUGUAGCGGUGAAAUGCGUAGAUAUCAGGAGGAACACCUGUGGCGAAGGCGACUUCCUGGACCAAUACUGACGCUGAGGCGCGAAGGCGUGGGGAGCAAACAGG